CGUGCUUAAACAUGCAAGUCGAACGCUGAAGCCUGGUGCUUGCACCGGGUGGAUGAGUGGCGAACGGGUGAGUAACACGUGAGUAACCUGCCCCUGACUUCGGGAUAAGCCCGGGAAACUGGGUCUAAUACCGGAUACGACUGCCGGACGCAUGUCUGGUGGUGGAAAGUUUUUUCGGUUGGGGAUGGGCUCGCGGCCUAUCAGUUUGUUGGUGAGGUAAUGGCUCACCAAGACGACGACGGGUAGCCGGCCUGAGAGGGCGACCGGCCACACUGGGACUGAGACACGGCCCAGACUCCUACGGGAGGCAGCAGUGGGGAAUAUUGCACAAUGGGGGAAACCCUGAUGCAGCGACGCAGCGUGCGGGAUGACGGCCUUCGGGUUGUAAACCGCUUUCAGCAGGGAAGAAGCGCAAGUGACGGUACCUGCAGAAGAAGUACCGGCUAACUACGUGCCAGCAGCCGCGGUAAUACGUAGGGUACGAGCGUUGUCCGGAAUUAUUGGGCGUAAAGAGCUCGUAGGUGGUUGGUCACGUCUGCUGUGGAAACGCAACGCUUAACGUUGCGCGUGCAGUGGGUACGGGCUGACUAGAGUGCAGUAGGGGAGUCUGGAAUUCCUGGUGUAGCGGUGAAAUGCGCAGAUAUCAGGAGGAACACCGGUGGCGAAGGCGGGACUCUGGGCUGUAACUGACACUGAGGAGCGAAAGCAUGGGGAGCGAACAGGAUUAGAUACCCUGGUAGUCCAUGCCGUAAACGUUGGGCACUAGGUGUGGGGGGCAUUCCACGUUCUCCGCGCCGUAG
rnacentral:rRNA from 1 species